UUUGUUUUGUUUUACUCAUUUUUCAGUUGUAUGCCGAGACAAACUCUACCGUGGAAUCGUUUUCCACAAUUUUCAAGGGUGUUGCCGGAAUAAAAUUCUUAAGAAGGACAGUAAGUAAACCAACAAAAUUAUAUUCUUCUUGAGCCCGCAGUCUGCGUAAUUCCAACGGCAUUUUUCCAUGGUUUUAUAAUAAUUGCUAAAUUAAUGGAGAUAAUUACUUUCUCUUUGUUAAUUAAAUAAGGCUCCCUUAAUAUCUUAGUGGUGAUUCUUGCAACAGUUCGCACUCUCACAUUUUUCAAUCCCAACCGUGCUAAGAAUAUAGCGAGAAUAUAAAAAUAUUCAUGUUGAAACUUUAAACGAACAAUACAUAUCAUUCUAUGAAAGUCUCAAACUCCUUCCAAGGUAAGGGUCGUAACGCUCUUGGCAGUUACUGCCCCACUGAAAUUUGGCACAAUUUCAUUAUAAACAUAGAUUCCUAAAAUUAAUUAGUUUGCAAAAAAUGAACCCAAAUACAAAGACCAAAAGUUUUGUAUUGUUGCCUCAGCCCGAGGAAUGCAAUAUUCCUUAAAUAAGGGAUAAGGGCUGAAAAGAAUGUGCAAAAAAUUUGGUAAGAUACGUUCACGUCGAAUAUUCAUGAAAGCAUAAAUUUGUUGCAACAUGUUCUUUUAUAAUUUAUUUUCAUUUCUAGGAAGCAACGUAAAAUGUUUGAAGAGGUUGCUGAGCGCCGACGUAAUCGGCAACAAGCUGCUAGCGAGAAACGUCGCCCUGAGCAGCCAAAACAAUUAACGCUGGUGGAUCAACUCCGGAAAGAAAUAAUAAGACUAAACUCAAAAGUACGUCAACUGGUAACGAAGACAUGCUAAAAGAGCUGCAAGAAUCAG